rnacentral:rRNA from 1 species
CAGUAGCCGCGGUAAGACAGAGGAUGCAAGCGUUAUCCGGAAUGAUUGGGCGUAAAGCGUCUGUAGGUGGCUUUUCAAGUCCGCCGUCAAAUCCCAGGGCUCAACCCUGGACAGGCGGUGGAAACUACCAAGCUGGAGUACGGUAGGGGCAGAGGGAACUUCCGGUGGAGCGGUGAAAUGCGUUGAGAUCGGAAGGAACGCCCGUGGCGAAAGCGAGGUCCUGGACGUCUACUGACGCUGAGACGCGAAAGCUAGGGGAGCGAACGGGAUUAGAUACCCCAGUAGUCCCUGUCUCUUAUAC